rnacentral:misc_RNA from 1 species
CUUAUUAUGCAGGAAUUUUAUUAUUAUUAGAUUUAUUAUUUCCUAGUUUAUUUUAUUUGGUAUUUCUAAUUAGAGUUUAUAAGAGUUUCUAUUUCUAAAUUAAUUAGGAUUGUAAGCUCUAUAAAAGAGAGCUAAUUUUUUAUUAUUCAGUAGCUUUACUCUAUGAUUAUUAUUAAGAUUAAUAAAAUUGUUGAGAAUUAGUUCUCUUCUUUUCAAGGACUGGUCAUUCUUCUAUUUUUUGUUCUUUAUUUGUUCUACAUCAACACCAAAUCGGAAAAGCAAGGGCUAACACCAAGCAACUAAUUCGUUAUUGCUUGGUUGCUUUGUACAGCCAUAUUAUGGAUCUGAUCAUUAAGGUCCUAGAUUCAGAUAAAAUUGUCAUUCCUUAUCCUUGUCUUACUAAAUCAACUAUGCAAGGAAAUUAGGCAACAAUAGACAAUGAAGCCCCAACUACUUGGAGAGUUAUAAGUGCAACAUUA